UGGGGAAUAUUGGACAAAGGGCGCAAGCCUGAUCCAGCCAUGCCGCGUGAGUGAUGAAGGCCCUAGGGUUGUAAAGCUCUUUCACCGGUGAAGAUAAUGACGGUAACCGGAGAAGAAGCCCCGGCUAACUUCGUGCCAGCAGCCGCGGUAAUACGAAGGGGGCUAGCGUUGUUCGGAUUUACUGGGCGUAAAGCGCACGUAGGCGGACUAUUAAGUCAGGGGUGAAAUCCCGGGGCUCAACCCCGGAACUGCCUUUGAUACUGGUAGUCUUGAGUUCGAGAGAGGUGAGUGGAAUUCCGAGUGUAGAGGUGAAAUUCGUAGAUAUUCGGAGGAACACCAGUGGCGAAGGCGGCUCACUGGCUCGAUACUGACGCUGAGGUGCGAAAGCGUGGGGAGCAAACAGG
rnacentral:rRNA from 1 species